GACGAACGCUGGCGGCGUGCUUAACACAUGCAAGUCGAACGGUGAAGCGCCUUCCUUUUUGGUGGGUGUGGAUGAGUGGCGAACGGGUGAGUAACACGUGAGUAACCUGCCCCCUUCUUCUGGAUAACCGCAUGAAAGUGUGGCUAAUACGGGAUAUUCUGGGUCUGUCGCAUGAUGGGUCUGGGAAAGAUAUUGUUUCGGUGGGGGAUGGGCUCGCGGCCUAUCAGCUUGUUGGUGGGGUGAUGGCCUACCAAGGCGGUGACGGGUAGCCGGCCUGAGAGGGUGGACGGUCACACUGGGGCUGAGACGCGGCCCAGACUCCUGCGGGCGGCAGCAGUGGGGAAUAUUGCACAGUGGGCGCAAGCCUGAUGCAGCGACGCCGCGUGAGGGAUGGAGGCCUUCGGGUUGUGAACCUCUUUCGCCAGUGAAGCAGGCCUGCCUCGUUUGUGGGUGGGUUGACGGUAGCUGGAUAAGAAGCGCCGGCUAACUACGUG
rnacentral:rRNA from 1 species